GACCUCUUUUGUGUUGCUCUCAGGUCCAUGAGGAGUGGCUUUAGCUCCCCUCAGCAGGGAAUAGCUAACCACCCACCCAGCACUCCUUGUCUCUUUUUCACCUAACCCUUAACUGGCUGAGCUCUCAACUGAGAGCACCUGUGGCUCUACAACCUCACUCUUUGGAGAACAAGCAGCUGCUCCCACUUCAGACGUUACAGAUCCCUCCUCCUUCAGGAGGAGCCUGAAAUCUGUAUUUUGGCUCCAAAUGUUUAGUCAUUGUUCCAUUUCUCCUCGGAUGGACAUCCUUUCACCCCUUCAACCUUCUGUCACAGUGGAUGUGAUUCUCACAUGAACCAUCUGAGCCAUCACUUUCUGAUUGUCAAGGUACCAGGAAAAGCAAAUUAAAAAUGAGAAAGUUUUGAGUUCUCCUCUCCUCUCCUACCCAGCCCAGCCCAGCCCACACAUGCCAUUUUUAUUUCUGGUGAUAGCAGCUUAACAUGAACAGCAAGAGUAGACUUGAAGGAGAAAAGAAGUUUCCAAAGAAAGGGCCCCUAACUUACUUCCUUGAUUUGGAGGGAAGGGAAAAGGAUGGAGGGAUUAGGAAACUGAGGCCCAGAAAGAUGAAAGGAACACACUUGCUCAAGCUGACAUAGCCAGCUAAUAUGAGACCCAGAACUAGACACCAGGACUCCUGACUCACAGUUCAGUGCCCUUUCUUCUACUUUAUGCUACGCACCCUCCCAGCAUUGCCGCUUAAUUCUCUGGGUGAUUUUGGGCAAGUCCCUUCCAACUAUGGGCCUCUGUUUCUUGGUCUGUGUAAUGAGGACGUUGGUUCUAACGUCCCUUCUGCUCCAAAGUCCAUAAUCCCAAUGUACUGCGGAUCAUGCUCUUUUCGGAUUGUCCUAUUGUGAAAUAAAUAUUUUGGGGCAAUUUGGCGGCAAAGAUGAUGAAGUUGAAUCUGUGCUGGCGAAUGGUCUGCUCAGCUUUACUGUUUCCUGUGGGGUUGGGAUUUUUAGAUGCCUAUGUAAUUCAAACUUGCUGUUCUCCUUUCCUGGUGGGAUGGUGCUCCCGGACUUUUACUGCCUGGUGGUGGUUUGGUUUGUGUGUUUGUUUGUUUAUUUCACCAUUCCCAAAGCCCCAGAGACACGUUUCCUGAUUGUUUUGCUUUCCUGACAACCACCCUUCCUCACUAUUACUCUGGCUAUUAAAUUUUUUUUUAAACCA